CUCUAACCAGCCCUCCAUACAAUUUCAGAAACCCGAUGCGGCCCUCAGACCAAAAAGUUUCCCUGCCCCUGGUCAGAGGACAGAGCGCUGGUCUGGGAGGCCAGAGACCUGGGUUCUGUUCCUGGCUCUGUCACUAUUCAGCUGGGUAACCUUGGGCAAGCUGUUUCCCCUCUCCGUGCCUCAGUUUCCCCAUCUGUAAAAAGGGGGGAAUGAGCCUUUGUAAAGCGCCUUGAGAUCUGAUGAGAUAUGCUAUGUAAGAGUGAGGCAUCCCUCUGAGUGAAACUGCAGGGAGAGUUCAGAGAAACAGAAUACCAAGACACACGCUAGAAGCUAACCAGGACACUGGGUUUAAGGUCAUUAAAGAUCCCCAUGACUUUCUCAGUGUUCUGUUUCCUCCAAAGGACAGUACCUCCUGUGCCACCAUGUGAGGCACUGGGUCAGGGCUGGCUAGAGGGAAGAGCACCACCUCCUGGAUAACUCUGCAGGCAGCACUUAAAACGGGGCCCGGUUCAUGAGUGGAUGGGAGGCAUCCCGGGAAAAUGUACUUCUAGCUCAACCAGCUGUUACCGGGCUGGAUGCAGAAAUCGAACAACGUUCUUUGAUCUCCUACAUAAAAGAGACCAGACUAGAUGCUAAGGGUCCUUGCUAGCCAUACACAUCUAUAGUUUGGUACCUUCUGGAAGACAUAGCCCCCACUGGGCCCCCAGCCCACAAUGGGGUCAGUGGACGGUUUGCCAUUGAUGUUUGGCUGGGAGUUGAUGGUCAGGAUUCCUCUUCUGUUCACCUUGUCCAGCUGCUCCUUCAAGAGGUUGGUUUCAGCAGCGAGAGGGUCGUCGUUCCAGGGCAGGCAGGUGACCUGCAGGAAGGAAAGAGUCUAUCCAUUACCAUAACCUCACAGCACCAGGCAAUGCCUCCUCAAACAAGACUCCAGUGGAUGGGGACAUGGCUGCCCACCACAUAGGACAGAUGAGCUAGUGAGAGCACAUCCCACAAGUGCUCUUACCUUGUACAAGGCUGACAGCUCCCUUCUGGGUGCAGUCAAAAUCCCAGACAGCUUCUUUAAAGCCCUACAUGGUCUAGUGGUCCCCAGUGGUCCCCAACCUUUCUUGUGGGAAUAGCAUACUGGACAGGCGCCAGACACCCCACCGCCGAAAUGCUGCCGAGAAACGGCAAUACUUCUUGGAGGCAUUUCGGCAGUGGGGUGUCCUGCGGGCGCACAAAAAUGCCCUGGCGGGCCACACAUUGGAGAUCCCUGGUCUAGGGCACCCUGUCUGAGACCCCUUUCAAACCAGGGGGGCUUUCCAGCUGCAGUCCCAGGGCUGAACUCAUGGGGGUUGUCCCUUCUUACCAGAUGUGCCGCUACUCUGAUCUUGGCCCUUUUACAGCACAAGGACAUCUUUAUCAAGACUUGUUCCUAGCUCUCUCAUGCUGAGAGUCCCCUCCGAGCAUGAUCCCCCAUGGUCACAGAGUGGGUUUGGCAGAGGAAUGCCCUGACCUCCUGUGUAAAGGAAUGUCACAGGGUGCUUGACACCUUUGAGAUAAGCACGAUUGUCUCUCUCUGUGACAGUCCUUUUUGGGUGCUGCACUGCCCCACUCUCCAAUGAGCCUCCCUCUCCGUUCUCAGCCCUAGGCUUUCACGCACCUUGUGCCCCUCCCUGUUGGGCUCUCCGGAGAUGUAACAGGUGAACACCUCGAAGACGCUCUCCUCACUCGUCAGCUCCUCCCCCCACAUCUUCAGGAGCUCCUCCCUCGGCGACUUGCUCUUCAGGUAGAAGAGGUAAUAGUCCUUCAGCUCGCCGAAGGCUGGAGAGGAAGAGUUCCCCCUGCGGGAUGGAGCAGAGAGACAGGGUUUAUGUGCUGCCUGUGGUGGAACGUGACCCGCUUGACUGUUCCAGCGGGUGGGGGAAAAAGCCACCCCCCAAGGUGGGGGGGAGAGUAGUAAAUACGAUCAACCAGAGAUCUGCACCCCCACCACGUUGGGGCCACCCACUCAACCGCCCCGAGCAGCUCACUCCCUCAUGCAGCUCUGAGCUAGUGGGCACCACCAGAGGUUCUCCUAGCAAAGUAUCACCAGAUGGGCUAAGUGACAGGACUCCAAAAGGGUCUUGAAACGAAUCCAGCAGCCUCUGCUUGUGCUACAGAGACGCCUUCCAUUUCAAGUGAUGUCGGAGCAGAUGGUCCCCUUACUCAAAUGGCUUUCUGCUCCACUCCCCACCGGGUCCAGCCCCUUUGGCCUAGGCCAGAGACUCACCAGCGGCCGUUGGGGAAAUCAUCCCAUUCCUGAGUUCGGUGAAUGUAGCUCUUUGGCCUGGAGGCCCAGAAGAUAGGCCGGACGUCUUCGACUCUUCUCUUGGGGUGGGCGCUGACUGCCCAGGGCAGAGGCCGCCUUGGGGGAAAAUAGAGAUUAUUAGGAUAGCUUCUCUGUAACGGACUCCCUGCUUUGGGACUGAAAGCACUGCUAGUAAAUGCGUUUUACUGGAGAGGCAGGGUUCUGGGACAGGCUGACCGGCAAGGGCUGAGGCAGAAUGGAGAGACAUCGCUGCAUCCAGAGAGGCACUUCCCUCCAGAGCGGACACCUCUCCCCUAGGAGAUGGCGGUUCAUGCCAAGGCAUUCAUUAUCCCCCUCUCACGUAUGCUCCCAGGCAGCUGGGUAGUUUGUUAAAGAAGAAUUGCACAGAUGAAAUACACGGGAUGGACACCUGCCCUUUUCUGGUGGCUAGACAGGCCUGAAAGGUCAUAUCUAUUGAAGGUGCAGCUGUGACAGGAGAAAGAUGCCCCAGGAGUAGCUCUCUGCUCACCUGGGGUCCUCUUUCCAAAUGCCCAGACGUUUGAGGAUUUCAGUGGUGGCCACUUCUCUGUUGAGGGUGUAGAAAUGCAGGCCGGACACCAUGCCGCUGUCCAGCAGCUCCCGGCACAUGGACGCCGCCAAUUCCACCCCGUAGUUCCGGAUGGCUGCGUCGUUGUCCUUGAUGGGCUCAAUCACUUCUUUGAUCUCCUGCGGCACCUCGAGUUUGGAGAGCUUCACGAGCUGGCGCAGAGAAUGGGACAAGAGUCAGACAACACUCAGCACCCUCAUCUCCCAGUGACUUAGAGCUUUAGUGGAAAGUGCUUGGGAGCUGGCAGGAUUUAGCUCAAAAAUCCAGCCAUGAACCCCUCCAGGCUGCUCACUUCGCCCUUCUGGCAAGGACUGGGGAUCUCACCUGUAU